AGUGGGAUAGCUGGGUCAAAUGGUGGUUCCAUUCCAAGCUUUUAAAGGAAUGUCCAUACUGCUUUCCAGAAUGGUUGCACCAAUUUUCAGUGCCACCAGCAAU
rnacentral:pre_miRNA from 1 species